rnacentral:rRNA from 1 species
UACGGAAGGGGCGAGCGUUGUUCGGAAUCAUUGGGCGUAAAGGGCGCGUAGGUGGUUCUGUGUGUCUACUGUGAAAGCGUACGGCUCAACCGUAUUUAGUCGGUAGAAACUGCAGGACUUGAGGCUGGGAGGGGCUGGUGGAAUUCCCUGUGUAGCGGUGAAAUGCGUAGAGAUGGGGGAGAACACUCGUGGCGAAGGCGGCCAGCUAGACCAGUUCUGACACUGAGGCGCGACAGCGUGGGGAGCAAACAGG